UACGUAGGGGGCAAGCGUUGUCCGGAAUCAUUGGGCGUAAAGAGCGUGUAGGCGGCCCGAUAAGUCCGCCGUGAAAGUCCAGGGCUCAACCCUGGAAUGCCGGUGGAAACUGUCGGGCUGGAGUCCGGAAGAGGCGAGUGGAAUUCCUGGUGUAGCGGUGAAAUGCGCAGAUAUCAGGAGGAACACCGGUGGCGAAGGCGGAUCUCUGGGCCUUACCUGACGCUGAGGCGCGAAAGCUAGGGGAGCGAACAGG
rnacentral:rRNA from 1 species